GGGUGCGUAACACGUGGGUAAUCUGCCCUGGAGUCCGGAAUAACUCGCCGAAAGGCGUGCUAAUGCCGGAUAAGACCACGGGAGCCUCGGCUCCUGCGGGAAAAGGUGGCCUCUGUACACAAGCUACCUCUCCAGGAUGAGCCCGCGGCCCAUCAGCUCGUUGGCGGGGUAAUGGCCCACCAAGGCUACGACGGGUAGCUGGUCUGAGAGGACGAUCAGCCACACUGGAACUGAGACACGGUCCAGACUCCUACGGGAGGCAGCAGUGGGGAAUCUUGCGCAAUGGGCGAAAGCCUGACGCAGCAACGCCGCGUGUGUGAUGAAGGUCUUCGGAUCGUAAAGCACUGUCGCGAGGGACGAAUAAGGGCCGGGAUAAUACCCCGGUCCGAUGACGGUACCUCGAGAGGAAGCACCGGCUAACUCUGUGCCAGCAGCCGCGGUAAUACAGAGGGUGCAAGCGUUGUUCGGAAUUAUUGGGCGUAAAGCGCGUGUA
rnacentral:rRNA from 1 species